GGAAGUAAAAGUCGUAACAAGGUUUCCGUAGGUGAACCUGCGGAAGGAUCAUUAACGAACCCUCGAGGGACACGGCUGCUGCUGGACUUCCUGGAAGUCAACGUGCACACGGGUCUCUCUUCUCGUUCAAACCAAUCUACCCCUAUCUGUGCACCCCUCGUGAGCCGAGAACCCUCUCGACUUAUGUCUUUUCCACAGUACAAUCCCACUCAUGAGUGAAUGAGCAGCCGUCCGAGCUUCGCCUCGGCGUUAGCCAGAACACACACAACUUUCAACAACGGAUCUCUUGGCUCUCGCAUCGAUGAAGAACGCAGCGAAAUGCGAUAAGUAAUGUGAAUUGCAGAAUUCAGUGAAUCAUCGAAUCUUUGAACGCACCUUGCGCCCCUUGGUACUCCGAGGGGCAUGCCUGUUUGAGUGUCAUCAGAUCAUCAACCCGAGGAGCUUUUCUGGCCUCAUCGGUGCUUUGGAGCUUGCGGUGUGCGGGAGGCUCUUGCGAGCCUCCGCUCCUCGCGGAAUACAUCAGCAGAUGUCCAACUUCGGACUGGCCCCUGACGUGAUAAACAUCUAUGUCUGGGGCCAGAGCCGUCUCUCUUGACUCUGCCUUGAGCUGUUGCGCGCCAUGCUUGGAGCGGCAACCCAGUGACGACUUUGACCUCAAAUCAGGUAGGAUUACCCGCUGAACUUAAGCAUAUCAAUAAGCGGAGGA
rnacentral:rRNA from 1 species